rnacentral:lncRNA from 1 species
UUUUUUUUCUUUUUUUUUUAUAGCAAAGAGAAUAAUAAUUUUCUAAAAAAAUAAUCAUGAGAAGAGUAUUGCACUUAUUGACCAUAUUUAUCACUUAACUUAUAAAAUCCAAUAAAGAGAAGAAAUUUCAUCAAAUAUGCAAAAAAAAUAUAGGCAUAAUUUUCUCCACUUCACAAGAUAUAUUUUCCUACAAAUGCAAAAUUAUAAUCACAUAAUAGUCAUUUCCAAGUUAAAUGAGAAAAGAAGUUUCCAAAUCACAUAUAUUUAUCUCAAAUGUAGAAG